UACAGAGGUCCCAAGCGUUGUUCGGAUUCACUGGGCGUAAAGGGUGCGUAGGCUGUCGGGUAAGUCUGAUGUGAAAUCUCACAGCUUAACUGUGAAACUGCAUUGGAUACUAUCCGGCUCGAGGAAUGGAGGGGAGACUGGAAUACUUGGUGUAGCAGUGAAAUGCGUAGAUAUCAAGUGGAACACCAGUGGCGAAGGCGAGUCUCUGGACAUUUCCUGACGCUGAGGCACGAAAGCCAGGGGAGCAAACGGG
rnacentral:rRNA from 1 species